rnacentral:rRNA from 1 species
UAGAGUUUGAUCCUGGCUCAGGACGAACGCUGGCGGCGUGCUUAACACAUGCAAGUCGAACGGAAAGGCCCUGCUUGCAGGGUACUCGAGUGGCGAACGGGUGAGUAACACGUGGGUGAUCUGCCCUUAACUUCGGGAUAAGCUUGGGAAACUGGGUCUAAUACCGGAUAGGACCACACUUUAGUGUGUGUGGUGGAAAGAUAUUGUUUCGGUUGGGGAUGAGCUCGCGGCCUAUCAGCUUGUUGGUGGGGUAAUGGCCUACCAAGGCGGCGACGGGUAGCCGGCCUGAGAGGGUGGACGGCCACAUUGGGACUGAGAUACGGCCCAGACUCCUACGGGAGGCAGCAGUGGGGAAUAUUGCACAAUGGGCGCAAGCCUGAUGCAGCGACGCCGCGUGGGGGAUGACGGCCUUCGGGUUGUAAACUCCUUUCGCUACCGACGAAGCCCCUUUUUGGGGGUGACGGUAGGUGGAGAAGAAGCACCGGCUAACUACGUGCCAGCAGCCGCGGUAAUACGUAGGGUGCGAGCGUUGUCCGGAUUUACUGGGCGUAAAGAGCUCGUAGGUGGUUUGUCGCGUCGUCUGUGAAAUUCCGGGGCUUAACUCCGGGCGUGCAGGCGAUACGGGCAUAACUUGAGUGCUGUAGGGGUAACUGGAAUUCCUGGUGUAGCGGUGGAAUGCGCAGAUAUCAGGAGGAACACCGAUGGCGAAGGCAGGUUACUGGGCAGUUACUACGCUAGAGCGAAGC